rnacentral:rRNA from 1 species
CAGCAGUGGGGAAUAUUGGACAAUGGGCGACAGCCUGAUCCAGCCAUGCCGCGUGUGUGAAGAAGGUCUUCGGAUUGUAAAGCACUGUAAGUUGGGAGGAAGGGCAGUAAGUUAAUACCUUGCUGUUUUGACGUUACCGACAGAAUAAGCACCGGCUAACUCUGUGCCAGCAGCCGCGGU